UCUUAUUGUAUCGAUUUGAAAUAUGAAAUCAUUUCGUGGUGUGUGUGUAUACGUGUGUAUGUGUGUGUGUGUAUACGUGUGUAUGCAUGUAUAUGCAUAUGUAUAUGUGUAUAUGUAUAUGUAUGAUAGCCAUAUGUAUAUGUAUGAUAUCUGUGAACCCAUUAAGGCAAGGCAACAAACAAGAAAGUGCGUAAAAGGUUCGAACGAACCUACGUGAAUCUGGUCACGUACUAUCAUUCGUCUUGUCAUCAGUCGAUGCUGACUAACGUUAAACUGACGUGCACAAUGCGUUGUUAAUAUCGUCAGCUUAACAGAUAUGUUCUUAAGAAAUACAUGAUAAAAUCGAUGAGUAGCCACGUUAGAACAGAUUCACGGUAUGGGACAAAACCUCGUUUACGAUUGUUUGUAUUUUCUGCAAGCGAUGCGAUUACUUUCCCCAAGGUAAGAAGAGAUUUAUUGAUAGAUACACCUUCCUGUCAAAAAAAUAUUUUAUAAUAAAUUCUUAACGUUUAACUAUUUUACACAUAUAUACGCACAUAAUAUAUACGUACUCUUAAUCUAUUUCCACUUGCACAGGUUUGACUUAAUCUUUCACUGCCUGCUAAGUCGACUAAAUUUAUUUUACUACGACGACUUGCAUCAGUGGAUGAACAUUUCAAAUCAUUUAAUUGCGUUUGAGUUAAUAUAAUACUGAAAAUACUAUGUGAUCGUGAACUUUUUUCAUUCAUACCAGUUGCUGCUGUUGCUCUCUGAGAAUUACCUACUUUCAACCAAAUCUAAAUGGAAUAUAAAGACAAAUUUCGAAUGGUUAUUAAGCUUUGAUAUACAUACGUUUUUGAUUACAAUUUGAUAUCUAUUGUUAUAGAAUUUCAUACAAGUACCUAAACUUUACUAGCCAGGGCUGUAUCAAAAGAAAUUAACCAACAACCUAUACAUAAAAAUUUGUUGAACAAUUUUACAAAAAAUAGUGAAAUAAACGUAAUA